AUUUUACUAAAUGCUGGCAUGUACAGACAGAGAGAAUUAGCCCAGACCCACUAUAUGGAAGAUACAUGUAUUUCAAACAUUACCUAUCCACAAAGACUAGAUUAGCUCAUUGAAAGCUGCAUUUUGAAUCAAUAAGGCCCUGUUUUAUCCAGUCACACAUUUGUAUUAUUAAAAAUUUCCAUUUUCUUUCAUAAAUGUUCUUUAGGAUCUCAGAGAAAUAAUCCAUCCAUGCAUCUAUCUUUCAUAACCUCUAUGUAACGCCAACUGAUUUAUGUGGGGGAGUGAACUGAGUGCUGGGCCCAGAAUCAGGAACAACUGAGUUCUAAUGGAGUCUCUUGUUAUAGUAAGAGGGUUAUAGAAUGAGACGUUGGUCUACAGGGGCAGAUGCAGAGGACGGAGGCAUGAGACUGACAGGGAAAGAAUUCUAGAAUGUUGAAAAGCGGGUUGAGCUGAAAAACCGAGAAGCAGUUAGUCUCUCUGGGGUUUGCUGAUGGUAAGCAUCUGGAGGCUUUGCUGCCAAGCUCCCUGGUGGAUUACCUGUACUUGUCCAUUGCUGUCAAGACCUGUGGUUCCUGAGAAGAAGAUCCUUGAACUGAUGCUGGCCUGACUCAACAUCCAGUCAAGUGCAGCUGUUACUGAGUGUAACAGGAGAUUGUUGUCUGAGAGAGGAAAUGAAGGAAAAUGUAUUUAGUAAGGAAAAUGAUACUAAAAUAAAAGGAUUGCAACUAAAGGUUUAAAGACAUCAUAUUAUUAAUUCAUAGAAAUCAUUUUGAUGAUUUUUAAUCCUUAUAAUGAACUAGAAAUUUUCUGGAAAGUCCAUGUGCUUGCAAAUGUUCAGCUGAUUGAUAUAAAUGAAUGGAGAGGAAGAAGUAGAUUCUCGAGUCCUGCUCCAUCACCUUUCCCCAAUUUCCAGUUAUGGAAUCAGAAGAGAGGUAUUUUGGUAGACUGGGAUGUACCCCGAAUUUGGAAGGAGAUUCGUAUUUGAGGAUGGGAGAAGUUUCUCUUCCAUGUUACUGUCUUCUCAACUCUCCUUCUCUGCAGAUAUACAAAGACAUAUAUAUGAAUAUAUGUGUAAAUGCAAUGUCUAUGUGUAUAUAUGGUAUGUAUAUGUAUCGAGUUUACAGCAUGGAGAAUACAAGUAUUGUGCACAGUACAUGUGAAUAUGUUUAGGUAGAUUACAGAGGCAAAAUCAUAGACAAUGUGAAUAAGAUGUCAGUGUCCAGAAGGCAACACCCAGAUUUAUUAUACACUUAUUAUGCACCAAGUAAAUAUAAGCAGAAAGAAGACACUCCCUGCCCUCCAGGAGCUUAUACUCUAAUGGGGAGAAGCACCUAAGAGGGAGUUGAAAAGGUAUUGAGAGGGAGAUGGAAAUAAUCAGUUCAAGGCUAGUGUACAGAAAGUGCUGGAAAAUAUAAGUACUUCCUAGAGACAAAUGAAGGAGCCUUUCUCUUCCAGCAACAUCCCCUUUCCAAAUUGAGGGUUCGGUUCUUUCCAUGACCUCUCAUUGCCUUUAACUACUUUUAACAAUAAUAAUGAGAAUGAGAACUUAUUUCUGCCUUUGCAUUCUUCAUUUUCGUGACCCACCUCUGUCCUAGAAUGUCUGAUCUCUAGCAUUGAGUAAGCUCCAUCAUCUGCCUUCUCCAUACCUUACCCUUCAUUUUCUCAACACUGCAUGAGCCAGGCACUGAGUCUGACUGAUUGGAUUGGAUGGAAAACUUAUUACUGAAUCACAGCCACUACAGUAGGACCUCAUUUUAUAUGAACAAUAUAUUCCAGGACCCUUUGCUUAAGUUGAAAAUCUUACAUAAUAGCAAACCCCAUUUUUAGAAAGUAGUUUUAUACAAACAUACCUAGGCACAUUAUGACUUUUCUUAGGCAUAUCACAGCCACCAGGAUCACUACUCUUAUACAUUGGGGACAUCCUUAAUAAUUAAAUAAUAUUAAUGAAAUAAAGGAAAGCAAUGUUCUGACA
ensembl:lncRNA